UUUGUACUCCCUCCGUCCCAAAAUUCUUGUCCUAAAUUUGUCUAAAUACGAAUGUAUCUAGUUACAUUUUAGUGUUAGAUACAUCCAUAUCUAAACAAAUGCAAGACAAGAAUUUUGGGACGGAGGGAAUACUAC
rnacentral:pre_miRNA from 1 species